rnacentral:lncRNA from 1 species
UGUGCCUAACCUGGGCACAGGUUUAAUAGUACAAACUACCUGGGUUCAAAUCUCUGUUCUGUCACUUCCUAAUUUUGUAACUCUGGGAAGGUCACUUAAUUCAUAUGUGCCACAAUUUCUUCUUCUGUAAAAUGCAACUAACAAUUGUGAUUAGAGGUUGUUUUCAGGAUGAAAUGAGUUAAUAUUUGUAAAGCACCAGGACCAAUGUCUACAUGCAGUAAUAUGUAAACAAACAAACAAACAAGAUCAUGUAUAUGAGGAAUUAAGCAAUGAUUUUGUGUUUUAGAUUUUGUUGGAAGGAAAAUCAGAAGCAAUGGUGGCUUUAUCCUCGAUACUGUCCUGGGCAACAGUCUUUUUUAGUCAGAAACCUCAAUGAAGACGUAAGACAGUGGAAUGCAUGGAGGACAAAAAGAAACACAUAGGAAGACUCAGACCACCUCCCUGUGCUGGACACUGUCAUGUUUGGAAGUGCAGCAGCUAUCUUGUAACCAAGAAGAGAGUCAGACUGAUGGCCUUGUGACUCCUGAAGAAGACAGACAAGAAAAAUGGAAAGAACCUGAACCUUUGCUUAUGACACUGAGCCCCCAAAUUAAUCAAUCCUGGAAUCAUCCUACUUUGGACUUCUUAGAGUGUAGUAUAAUAAAGUACCCUUGUUGCUCAGGCCCAUCACAUUGGAGUCCUCUCUUACUGUGGCCACAGGACACUAAGUGACUCAGAUAGGCUCUGAUUACUGAAAGAGCUUCUGAAGAGAGAGGACAUUUCCAACACUGGGUGUGGAGGCUCUAAGCAUGUUGCACAGCCCCUCUGAGACAUGUAGAGUAGUAGAAAGAAGAAGUACUUCAGAGACUCAUAUGCCUAGAUCUGUCACUUACUAGCUGUGUGCCCUUGAAUACAUUCAUUCACCACCUCUCUAGGCCUCAGUGUUUUCAUCUGUAAAAUGGGAAGAAUAACCUGUACUUCAUCAAGUUGUUGUGAGGGUCAAGACCAUGUACAGAGUUCUGACAUACAAUUAUAAUGGCCACACAUGGAAGGAUCACUUUUGUCUGUACAUCACUGGACAAGUAUCUCAGUGAUGUCCACAUAAUGAUUGAUAAAGUGGUGACACUUUAUCAGAAC